rnacentral:rRNA from 1 species
UACGUAUGGUGCAAGCGUUAUCCGGAUUUACUGGGCGUAAAGGGAGCGCAGGCGGCGCGCCAAGUCUGAUGUGAAACCCCGGGGCUCAACCCCGGGCAUGCAUUGGAAACUGGCGGGCUGGAGUGCCGGAGAGGUAAGCGGAAUUCCUAGUGUAGCGGUGAAAUGCGUAGAUAUUAGGAGGAACACCAGUGGCGAAGGCGGCCUACUGGGCUUUAACUGACGCUGAGGCACGAAAGCAUGGGUAGCAAACAGG